AGUGAACGCUGGCGGUAGGCCUAACACAUGCAAGUCGAACGGCAGCACAGUAAGAGCUUGCUCUUACGGGUGGCGAGUGGCGGACGGGUGAGGAAUACAUCGGAAUCUACUUUUUCGUGGGGGAUAACGUAGGGAAACUUACGCUAAUACCGCAUACGACCUACGGGUGAAAGCAGGGGAUCUUCGGACCUUGCGCGAUUGAAUGAGCCGAUGUCGGAUUAGCUAGUUGGCGGAGUAAAGGCCCACCAAGGCGACGAUCCGUAGCUGGUCUGAGAGGAUGAUCAGCCACACUGGAACUGAGACACGGUCCAGACUCCUACGGGAGGCAGCAGUGGGGAAUAUUGGACAAUGGGCGCAAGCCUGAUCCAGCCAUACCGCGUGGGUGAAGAAGGCCUUCGGGUUGUAAAGCCCUUUUGUUGGGAAAGAAAAGCAGCAGGUUAAUACCCCGCAGUUCUGACGGUACCCAAAGAAUAAGCACCGGCUAACUUCGUG
rnacentral:rRNA from 1 species